UACGUAGGGGGCAAGCGUUGUCCGGAAUUAUUGGGCGUAAAGAGCGUGUAGGCGGCCAGAUAAGUCCGCUGUGAAAUCUCGAGGCUCAACUUCGAGCUGUCGGUGGAAACUAUCUGGCUAGAGUCCGGAAGAUGGAGAAUGGAAUUCCUGGUGUAGCGGUGAAAUGCGCAGAUAUCAGGAAGAACACCCGUGGCGAAGGCGGUUCUCUGGGACGGUACUGACGCUGAGGCGCGAAGGCGUGGGGAGCGAACGGG
rnacentral:rRNA from 1 species